rnacentral:tRNA from 1 species
GGGUGAUUAGCUCAGAGGUAGAGCGCUUCGUUGACAUCGAAGAGGCCGAAGGUCCGAUUCCUUCAUCACCCA